GACGAACCGUCCUAACGUUAUUCGGAAUCACUGGGCUUAAAGGGCGCGUAGGCGGACGAGCACGUCCGGAGUGAAAUCCUUCGGCUUAACCGGAGAAGUGCUUUGGAUACUGCUCGUCUUGAGGGAGGUAGGGGCAUGUGGAACUUCUGGUGGAGCGGUGAAAUGCGUUGAUAUCAGAAGGAACGCCGGUGGCGAAAGCGACGUGCUGGCCCUCUUCUGACGCUGAGGCGUGAAAGCUAGGGGAGCAAACGGG
rnacentral:rRNA from 1 species